rnacentral:rRNA from 1 species
CCUACGGGAGACAGCAGUGAGGAAUAUUGGUCAAUGGGCGGAAGCCUGAACCAGCCAAGUAGCGUGCGGGAUGAAGGCCCUACGGGUCGUAAACCGCUUUUGCACGGGGAUAACACCCUCCACUUGUGGAGGUCUGCAGGUACCGUGCGAAUAAGGGCCGGCGAAUUCCGUUCCAGCCGCCGCGGUAAUACGGAAGGCCCGAGCGUUAUCCGGAUUCAUUGGGCUUAAAGGGGGCGUAGGCGGGCGUUUAAGUCAGCGGUAAAAUGGCGGGGCUCAACCCCGCCCCGACGUUGAAACUGGAGGCCUUGAGUUCUCAACAGGCAGGCGGAAUUCGUGGUGUAGCGGUGAAAUGCAUAGAUAUCACGAGGAACCCCGAUUGCGAAGGCAGCAUGCCGGGGUCCGACUGACGCUGAGGCUCGAAGGUGUGGGUAUCAAACAGGAUUAGAUACCCUUGUAGUC